GCCGCAGUAUUUUGACUGUGCAAAGGUAGCAUAAUCAUUAGUUUUUUAAUUGAAAGCUGGAAUGAAUGGUCGGAUGAGGAAGUUUCUGUCUCAUUUUAAUUUUAUUUGAAUUUUAUUUCUGAGUUAAAAAGCUUAGAUUUUAUAGAAAGACGAGAAGACCCUAUAGAGUUUAAUGAAUUUGUAUUUGAAUUAUUAAAAGAUUUAAAAUUAAUUGAUUUACUAUUCAUUUUGUUGGGGUGACGUAAGAAUUGGAAGAACUUCUUAUAAUUUUAACACUGAUUAGUGGGUGAAGGAUCCUAAGUUGAUGGAUUACAAGAAUAAAUUACCUUAGGGAUAACAGCGUAAUUCUUUUAGAGAGUUCUAAUCGAUAAAAGGGAUUGCGACCUCGAUGUUGGAUUAAAGUUAAUUCUUGGUGCAGAAGCUAGGAUUUUG
rnacentral:rRNA from 1 species